rnacentral:rRNA from 1 species
UUUUAAGGAAGUAAAAGUCGUAACAAGGUUUCCGUAGGUGAACCUGCGGAAGGAUCAUUAUCGAGUUUUGACUGGGUUGUAGCUGGCCUUCCGAGGCACUGUGCACGCCCUGCUCAUCCACUCUACACCUGUGCACUUACUGUGGGUUACGGACUGUGGAGCGGGCUCUGCGGAGCUCGUGAAGCGCGUCUGUGCCUGCGUUUUAUUACAAACACUAUAAAGUCUUAGAAUGUGUAUUGCGAUGUAACGCAUCUAUAUACAACUUUCAGCAACGGAUCUCUUGGCUCUCGCAUCGAUGAAGAACGCAGCGAAAUGCGAUAAGUAAUGUGAAUUGCAGAAUUCAGUGAAUCAUCGAAUCUUUGAACGCACCUUGCGCUCCUUGGUGUUCCGAGGAGCAUGCCUGUUUGAGUGUCAUGAAAUCUUCAACCUACAAGGUCUUUGUAAAGGCUUUUUAGGCUUGGACUUGGAGGCUUGUCGGUCUUUAUAGGUCGGCUCCUCUUAAACGCAUUAGCUUGAUUCCUUGCGGAUCGGUUUGUCGGUGUGAUAAUGUCUACGCCGCGACCGUGAAGCGUUUUGGCAAGCUUCUAACGGUCUCUGUAUGGAGACAAAGCUUAUGACCUCUGACCUCAAAUCAGGUAGGACUACCCGCUGAACUUAAGCAUAUCAAUAAGCGGAGGAAAAGAAACUAACAAGGAUUCCCCUAGUAACUGCGAGUGAAGCGGGAAAAGCUCAAAUUUAAAAUCUGGCGGUCUUUGGCCGUCCGAGUGUAGUCUGAGAAAGGCCCCGGCG